GCGGACGUGGUGGAACUGGUAGACACAAGGGACUUAAAAUCCCUCUCGGGCAACCGAAUGCGGGUUCGAGUCCCGCCGUCCGCACCA
rnacentral:tRNA from 1 species